rnacentral:rRNA from 1 species
UCGAGAAUUUUUCUCAAUGGGCGAAAGCCUGAAGGAGCGACGCCGCGUGGAGGAUGAAGGUCUUCGGAUUGUAAACUCCUGUCAUUAGAGAACAAUGUGCAUCUAUUAACUGUGGGUGCAUUGAUAGUAUCUGAAGAGGAAGGGACGGCUAACUCUGUGCCAGCAGCCGCGGUAAUACAGAGGUCCCAAGCGUUGUUCGGAUUCAUUGGGCGUAAAGGGUGCGUAGGUGGUGCCGUAAGUUGGGUGUGAAAUCUCGGGGCUCAACCCCGAAACUGCAUUCGAUACUGCGGUGCUUGAGUAUUGGAGAGGAGAUUGGAAUUCACGGUGUAGCAGUGAAAUGCGUAGAUAUCGUGAGGAAGACCAGUGGCGAAGGCGGAUCUCUGGACAAUCACUGACACUGAGGCACGAAGGCCAGGGGAGCAAACGG